rnacentral:rRNA from 1 species
CAGCCGCCACGGGAAUACAGAGGGUGCGAGCGUUAAUCGGAUUUACUGGGCGUAAAGCGUGCGUAGGCGGCUUUUUAAGUCGGAUGUGAAAUCCCUGAGCUUAACUUAGGAAUUGCAUUCGAUACUGGGAAGCUAGAGUAUGGGAGAGGAUGGUAGAAUUCCAGGUGUAGCGGUGAAAUGCGUAGAGAUCUGGAGGAAUACCGAUGGCGAAGGCAGCCAUCUGGCCUAACACUGACGCUGAGGUACGAAAGCAUGGGGAGCAAACAGGAUUAGAUACCCGGGUAGUCCCUGUCUCUUAUAC